CCUACGGGGGGCUGCAGUGGGGAAUAUUGGGCAAUGGAGGCAACUCUGACCCAGCAACGCCGCGUGAAUGAUGAAGGUCUUCGGAUUGUAAAGUUCUUUUCUAAGGGAAGAAAAAGGUGACGGUACCUUAGGAAUAAGCCUCGGCUAACUACGUGCCAGCAGCCGCGGUAAGACGUAGGAGGCAAGCGUUAUGCGGAAUGACUGGGUGUAAAGGGGGCGUAGGUGGUUUGACAAGGUAGUAGCGAAACUCCGGUGCUCAACUUCGGAACUACUACUAAAACUGGGGGACUUGAGUGCAGGAGGGGCAAGCGGAAUUCCUAGUGUAGCGGUGGAAUGCGUAGAUAUUAGGAGGAACACCAGUGGCGAAGGCGGAUUGCUAGACUGUAACUGACACUGAGGCACGAAAGCGUGGGGAGCAAACAGGAUUAGAUACCCGAGUAGUC
rnacentral:rRNA from 1 species